rnacentral:lncRNA from 1 species
AGAAGCACAUCAGGACCCCUAAGACUGUGACCCCCAGGAGUUUCUCACUCUCUAAUUAGUUCACAUUCACCUCCAGAAAUUCAUCAAAAUUAUCAUUUUACUGUUUUUACCAGUUGUUGACUCCAGCAGCUUCUGCUUCAGUAAAUCUUACUGCUGCUCACUUUUUGGGUCCACACUGCGUUUAUUAGCUGCAACGCUCACCGCUAUGGUCUGCAGCUUCACUCCUGAAGCCAGCGAGACCACGAACCCACCAGAAUGAAGAAACUCCGAACACAUCCAAACAUCAGAAGGAACAAACUCCGGACAGGCGGCCUUUAAGAACUGUAACACUCACCUCGAGGGUCUGCGGCUUCAUUCUUGAAGUCAGUGAGACCAAGAACCCACCAAUUCCGGACACAAUGUUACUCCAGAUAAUCAGCGCCAUUUUCUGAAGCUUGAGAUGCAGGAAAAGAGGAGUGCUAUCCAUUAGAUGGAGACAGGAAGUAGAAAAAGAGCUUAAAGUUUUGGCUUGUGUUACUUCCUUGGGGAGAUCUUGCUGGACCACAUCAGGAAUAGGAGGGGUGUGUCCCCACAGCACUGUGUACACGCACUUGGGCAAACAGCUGAUAGGAGUUCAUUUUGUGAAGCUGUCACGAGUUUUCCAGUAGACCAUGAGCUUGCUGAUGGCAGGAGCCUGCCUGUCCUUGAUCCUUGUUUCUGUGGGGUCUAUCCCAGUGCCUGGCACAGUGGCUUUGGAGAUGGAAGGAAUAGAGGGAGAGCAGAUCCUCAAACACAGCCUGCAUCUCUCCCUGCUCCCCUCCCACCCUCCAGUUUUCCAGCCAGAGGCAUUUGCUCUAAGGCCCAGGCUGUGGCCCACCUAUCACCGCUACCCAAGUAGUACAGGAAAAGGAAAUUUGAAGAGGAAAAGAGGCACCAGGGAUGAGGACACACCGAGAAAAGACCAUGUGAAGACAUGGCGAGAAGACAGCCAGCUGCAAGCCAAGGAGUGAGGCCUCAGAAGAAACCAACCCUGCCGACACCUUGACCUUGGACUUCUAGUCUCUAGAAUUAUGCGAAAAUAAAUUCCUGUUGUUUAAGCCA